rnacentral:rRNA from 1 species
GAACGGUAGCACAGAGGAGCUUGCUCCUUGGGUGACGAGUGGCGGACGGGUGAGUAAUGUCUGGGAAACUGCCCGAUGGAGGGGGAUAACUACUGGAAACGGUAGCUAAUACCGCAUAACGUCUUCGGACCAAAGUGGGGGACCUUCGGGCCUCACACCAUCGGAUGUGCCCAGAUGGGAUUAGCUAGUAGGUGGGGUAAUGGCUCACCUAGGCGACGAUCCCUAGCUGGUCUGAGAGGAUGACCAGCCACACUGGAACUGAGACACGGUCCAGACUCCUACGGGAGGCAGCAGUGGGGAAUAUUGCACAAUGGGCGCAAGCCUGAUGCAGCCAUGCCGCGUGUAUGAAGAAGGCCUUCGGGUUGUAAAGUACUUUCAGUGGGGAGGAAGGCGUUAAGGUUAAUAACCUUAGCGAUUGACGUUACCCNGCAGAAGAAGCACCGGCUAACUCCGUG